rnacentral:rRNA from 1 species
UACUACCGAAGCUACGGCAUCAGUAAUGAUGGGUAGGGGAGCUUCCCAUACGGGUUGAAGCAUGACCGUAAGGACAUGUGGACAGUAUGGGAGUGAGAAUGUUGGCAUGAGUAGCGAGAUGUGGGUGAGAAUCCCACAGGCCGUAAACCCAAGGUUUCCAGGGGAAGGUUCGUCAGCCCUGGGCUAGUCGGGACCUAAGCUGAGGC